ACCUGGCUGGCUCAGUUGGUAGAGCAUGUGGCUCUUGGUCUCAGGGUUGUGAAUUCAAGCCCCACGUUGGGUG
rnacentral:tRNA from 1 species